GACGAACGCUGGCGGCGUGCUUAACACGUGCAAGUCGAACGGAAAGGCCCUGCUUUUGUGGGGUGCUCGAGUGGCGAACGGGUGAGUAACACGUGAGUAACCUGCCCUUGACUUUGGGAUAACUUCAGGAAACUGGGGCUAAUACCGGAUAGGAGCUCCUGCUGCAUGGUGGGGGUUGGAAAGUUUCGGCGGUUGGGGAUGGACUCGCGGCUUAUCAGCUUGUUGGUGGGGUAGUGGCUUACCAAGGCUUUGACGGGUAGCCGGCCUGAGAGGGUGACCGGCCACAUUGGGACUGAGAUACGGCCCAGACUCCUACGGGAGGCAGCAGUGGGGAAUAUUGCACAAUGGGCGGAAGCCUGAUGCAGCAACGCCGCGUGCGGGAUGACGGCCCUCGGGUUGUAAACCGCUUUCGCCUGUGACGAAGCGUGAGUGACGGUAAUGGGUAAAGAAGCACCGGCUAACUACGUG
rnacentral:rRNA from 1 species